UUUCCGUAGGUGAACCUGCGGAAGGAUCAUUACUGAGUGAGGGCCCCUCGGGGUCCAACCUCCCACCCGUGUUUAACGAACCUUGUUGCUUCGGCGGGCCCGCCUCACGGCCGCCGGGGGGCAUCUGCCCCCGGGCCCGCGCCCGCCGAAGCCACCUGUGAACGCUGUCUGAAGUAUGCAGUCUGGGACAAUUAUUAAAUUAAUUAAAACUUUCAACAACGGAUCUCUUGGUUCCGGCAUCGAUGAGGAACGCAGC
rnacentral:misc_RNA from 1 species